rnacentral:rRNA from 1 species
AUUGACCGCUGGCGGCAGGCCUAACCCAUGCAAGUCGAACGAGUGGCGGACGGGUGAGUAAUGUCUGGGAAACUGCCCGAUGGAGGGGGAUAACUACGGGACACGGUAGCUAAUACCGCAUACCAUCGGAUGUGCCCAGAGGGGAUUAGCUAGUAGGUGGGGUAACGGCUCACCUAGGCGCCGAGCCCUAGCUGGUCUGAGAGGAUGACCAGCCACAAUGGAACUGAGACACGGGCCAGACUCCUACGGUAGGCAGCAGUGGGGAAUAUUGCACAAUGGGCGCAAGCCUGAGACAGCCAUGCCGCGUGUAUGAAGAAGGCCUUCGGGUUGUAAAGUACUUUCAGCGAGGAGGCGUUACUCGCAGAAGAAGCACCGGCUAACUCCGUGCCAGCCGCCGCGGUAAUAC